rnacentral:lncRNA from 1 species
CAAGCUUUUACAGAUGGACAUAACAGGAUGUAGAUCCCACAAGACUGAAAAAGAUUCUGGAAGAUGCACCUAGAAAUCUGAGACCUCUCUCAUGUCUUCCUGCACACCUUUUCCUGCUGUGUCAUAUCCUCCGCCCUUAUUAAAGCUUUAUGCGCUGACCACAGCAAUGGAACCAACUGGGAUUGAACUCGGGACCUUGCGCUUGCGAGGCAGGCAGUGGACCCACUGAGCUAAAUCCCCAGCCCAAGACUUCACUUAUUAAACUCAGCAAAAAGACCCUUCAAAAGAAAGGAAAAUAUUGUGAUCCAUGCACAACAGCCUACAAUCCCAAGGCACUUUCUACUACUGAAAACAACUCUUGGAUGGAAGAAUAAACUACAGAGGUCUACUUCUGGGCAGGAAGUACUUUAACAUGAAAAUUCAC